GUUCCCGUCGGACUGGCUGCAGCGGCUGCCGCCAGCUGCCGGGUCAAGGGCGAUGGGCAGAGCCAUCCCAGCACUCCCGGGCUUAAAAACGCCAGGAAAGGGCCUGAAUUUGACUGAUUUACCCCCACACCCCCUAAGAACCUGUAAAUGUGUGUGAGGGUGCACUCCUGGUGAACGCAGCCUCCAAAGCAGCAAGCAGGCGUAGGUGCAUCUGGAGCAUGCCCGGGUGGGAGAUCUGGUGCUGUCAAAUGCAUCUUCUUCGGAUGGAAGGACGAGUUGCUGAGCUGACACAGCGCUAAGCUGGGUCACUGACCUCCAUCUACCUCCAUCUACUCCUUUUUCCCUUUUCCUGAUCCCCCUCUUUGGCUUUGCGCCAAAACGCGGCAGCGACUAAACACAAGCUGCACUUGGUCCUGUUCUCCAUGCGGUGGCACCAGAAGAACAGCCCAGAGAAAAGCUGGGGUCGAAUCCGGCAACGGCCAAGUUGCAGAGGGGGAGAGAAGCCUGUGAGCACAGAGCAGCCCAGCCGAGCCCAGCCCAGCUGAGCCCAGCCCAGCCCCAGGGUGGCAUCUUCACAAACCCAGAGCUGAACUUCUCCCCUCCCAAACGUUCUUGUUCGCUUGCUCUGCUGCCCAAAGUUUCUGAAACUCCCUCACUGUGCUGACCACAGAGAUUAAUUGGGAAAUGAAAGUAACUGGAAGAGAGGGGCACAGACCAGAACAGCCCAGGGAGCUGAGCCCGGGUGCAGGUAAGACACAGGUACCUGCCCCUUCCCUGCUGGGUUGUGCAAUGGAGAAGCACCGGCUGCCUUAAAAAGGUGAGGGUUUUGCUCUUCUUGGCCUGUUUUCCUCCUCCACUACCACCUUUUAAUAAUUCCUGGGUGACUGAUGUUGACCUCCAGGUCAGAAGUCUCCAGUUAACAGCCAGGAAAUGCCCUUCCCAUUGGUCAUUAUUGCCUAAUUAACAAUUUGAAAUAUGCCACAUUCGAUGCCAAUGACACGAGAUGGCCAUUUGGAGGGGUGGGGGCUGCAGAGCACUUGGCAACAUCUGCAUGUGAAAGCCCCGCACUGGGAUGCAUUGGGUGCUGCUCUGUGCCUCUGGGCUCCAGGCUCAGGACUGGUGCCUCCAGUCUCACUUACACCCAGAAUAAAGUUCUUGGGUUUUUUUCACAAAUACAAUGGCCAGAAAUGGCUGGUUUUAACGACAGGUAUUUCCAAGCAAUGCUACAGUGUCAGAAAGAGCUUAUAAAAGACCCAUUCCUUCCCUGUUACCUGUUCUGCCCCCAGACAAUGAGUCUUUGGCUUGAAUCAACACCCGGCUGGGCUGAGCCGAGGAGUCUUCUUGACCUGGCAGAGGCUGCGAGAGAGCAGGAAUGAUUCCUAAUCCUUCACCCAUCCUCAUCUGCCAGUCAGGACAGCCUAUCACCAAUGAUUUGGCCUAUUUAUAUAAAAAUAUAUACAUAUAUUUCAGGAGGAACACUCCCUACCUAAGGGGUUUUACAGUGUGGCACAUUGAAAGGUUUGUUAAAAUAGCUGAGUGUCAGCCUUCCUCUUUACCUGUCAAGGAAGGCAAAGGAAGAGGGAAGUAUAUUUUAAUAACCUGGGUGGUCGGCAUGGAAAAGCAAUGCAGAAGCUGCUGUGGAGUAAGAGGUCUUGAAGGCUGGAGCUGGGUGUCUGGUCUCCAGGGGGGUCACUAAUCUGCCAGAAAAUUAAAAAAAAACAAAACCGAAGCAAAGCAUGGAAGGGUCCAACAAGUGCCAGGAGCUGGAUCCUGCUGCUAGGAGCCCAAAAGAAGGAGAAAGAUGAGAGGAAAGAGAGAGGACUCCCCCCACCUCCCCAGUUUUUGGCACUGGUGAGCGGUGUUGACGCAACUGCCCACAGAAGAGCAGCCAUCGUCAUUCAUUACAAGUGAGUCCGGACACAUCCGUGGUGUCCAGCGUCACACAUCUGAUGGGCAUCAGGAGGGCAAGGACACAUUUAUCUCUGCUGAGCUGGAGCACAUGGCGCAGCACGUACACCAGCACGAUGCUUUGUCCCGCUCUAGUAGGCACUUCACCACCGCAGCCCAUUCACCCCUUAAAAAUAUAAUAAAAUCAAACCAACAGAGGGAAUUUUCUUCGAUGUGGACAUGGAAUUGCUCAUCUGGCACCCAGAUGCCUUCAGACUGGAUUUGGCAUCUUCUGGCAGCACAGCCUUACACAGAGAAUUAAUAUGGAGCAGCUAAGUUCAUACCAUUGUAAUUUAAUGUUUACUUCCAUCUGUGGGCACUGAGGGUGUUGUGGUGACGUAUCAAUAGCUGUAUAAACAUAUCUCAUGUGCCUAUAUAAUGAAUACAGCUUAUACAGCUGCUCCUGGUGAAGCUGUUGUGGAGGGACCAGGGCAGGUGAGCCUGGUCUGAGAGCUCAGUAACUGGCCUGUUCCCAUCUGGGCAGGAUCAUGAGAUGUGUAAAUGUUCUCACAUGCUACCCCACCAAAUUAAAAGCAUCAAGCUGAAUGUGGAUACACUAAAAAGGUAUUUACUGCUAUAAAUGAUGCAGAAAAUUAAUAUUGAUGAAAUACAGCUGAACACUUUUUUAAUGCACUUUGCCUUUUUAAUUUGUUUUUAAGGAUCCUUGGGCUGCAGUCAAUGUCAUUGUUUCCUUUGGAAAGCCAGAGUCCUUCUAUUUGUGUUAAUUAUGCACCUGCAAGAACAGAAAAAAUAAUAGAAAUAGAAGUAUCUUGCCACUGUAUUGUGGCUAAGGAAAGGAAGAACAAUACAAAGUAACUGAAGUUUUUCUGUUGAGAAAGUGCUUUUAAAGGGUCACAGAGCUGAUCAGCAAGGAGCAUAAUUUGGGCAUCCUGACUCCCCAAUUCCUGCUCCAUGUGUCACGGUGAUACCUAAACCCUGAAUAAGUCCCUGGGUAUUCUUGGGUCGUGUUUGCUUUUUCUCAGACUAGUUUCCCAGCUAAUGCUUUCAGGAACAGGUUUGAAAUUAAGAUUUACAUAUUUAUGUUCCUAUUAACAUAGAUACAUUAAAAAAACUUAAUGAGCUUAUGUAACAAAUUGCUACAUGACAUUGUUAAUGAUUCAAGAGAGGAUCCGUACUUAGGUAGAUAAGAAUGGCAUUUGCAAUGGCACCAGCUCUGCUAAAAUUACAAGGAGCAUCAAUUGCAUGGUUCAAGUAGACAGUCCUGAGACUGGAGCCUGAAGGUCUCCAGCAUGGUCCAGUCUCACCGGCGAGAUACGCGUGUGGGGAAUCAUGUGCCAUAACCCACUUGCAGAGCGUAAACAGGGUGACACAGCCAGCAGCCUCCACACGGGGACCUUCCAUGUCCCAGGGACAUGACGAGGUUGUGAUUGCAGCUCGGGUCUCAGCAGAGCCGGCAUCACCUCUCUGCCAUCACAGCUCUCCUGUGUUGAGCAAGACCCUUCGGGCACGUCUGCAGAGAGUGGAGCUUUCUCUGUGCCUGCUCUGAGCUGGCUCUGUGUCCCAGCAGGUUUGGGAUGUCACCAGCUGCUGCUCUGCUGGAACCAGUGUCCCUGCUCUGGUGGAGAACUUGUGCCUCAAGUGCUGUGAGCUCUUCUGGAGCUCCCAGAUCACAUCUGGCCAGCUUGGGGCUGGGUGAGCUGGAAGUGUUUGCAGCUUGUAGAUAUGCUUUACAUUUCCGUGUUUCCUGCUUCCCCACUAUAAACAAGGAAAUAUCGAGUUCCCAGACUUCUGGGAGAGGAAGCCAGCGUGCUGCAUGCAUGUAGGUGGUGUGGAGCUGGCGAAGACCCGCAGAGCAUGGCAGACAUUCAGCCAGUCUGAGACUGCUGGGGAUGUAAAUUCGCCCCUGCUUGUGUGCAGUCACGGUCCUCACUACUGACUGGGCUUGUGGGUACAACACACUCUCCAGGGAAGCUGAGGCACAGCUUUUAGGAAAGGAGAGCUCGGGAUUUAAAAAAGCAAGUACUCACAGCCUUUCCCUCCACAUUUGCGCUAACAAUUUUAUAUGGACAAGUCAGUGGACUGUGCUCUUUUACCCAAUCUCCUGGGAAGCCACCACUGCCCAACAGCCAUGGAUGGCAGCAGAAGCAUGAACUCAUCUCUCCCUCCUGCUCAUUGCAAAGCUCCCUGUGACUAUUUACAUGCCACUAUGACUAAGCAGGGCCAGGUUUGGGCUCCAGAAGGCACUGCAGGCUUGGUGAGCUUUGGCUGUCUUUGCUGGAACAAGCCAGAGGAGUAAGUGGCAACUGGUGUCCUGGGCAUGGACAAGGAGCCUGGACAUUCCCAGGGCACUGGGGGCUCUGGAGGACCCUGACCACAUGGCCAUAUUUCGCUGGCUGCUGCGGUGGCUUCAUAUGCCAGCUGGAAGAGAGAACAACACUGUGACUUGGAAACCUGGGAACAAACUUGAACUGGUGAAGAAAUUUGUGCUGUUUGUGGUGAUGUUGCUCUGAGCAGCUCCUAACCCCGCUACAACAGAUUUACAGUCUUGCUGAAACGCAGGCAAGGAUUCCUUUGCCAACACUAUGCUGGGAUAAGCUAUGCUGACAGAAGAGCACUUUAGCUGGUGUAUUCCGUGUUUACACAAGAGGAGUGCUUUAUCGGUCUAGCUGUACUGGCAAAUCUCCCCUCGGGCUAGCCAGUCUUCUCUCGGCAGCUUAGCUCUGCAGCUGGAUGGGCAUAGUCCCCAAGGAGAGAUGCAUUCGGCACUUGGUGAGGAGAUGUAGAGACCCUCACCGUGCCUGUGUGGGGCAGUUUGUCGGCUUCCCUCCCAGGGCAAGCGAUGCCCAACAGCCCAGACCUGUGCUGGGGUUCAGGUCAUGCUGGCAGUGCCCCAGCACACACCCUCGGCGUGGACACGGCGCGCUCUGGGAUAACCCGUGAUUUGCAUGGGUGCAGCUUGACCUGGUUUGAGCCUGUGUCUGCCGCUGGAUUUGCAUCUGUUCAGCUGAGCUGGUUUUGUUUCGUUGCUGUGAUUGUUUUCAAUUCUAAUGCAGCCCAGCACAAGGAAGACGUGGCCUCGUUCCUCUCCUCUCAGCACUGGCUUUCAAAGGCAACCAUCCCCCUUGCAUGGAUACCAAACUGCCUUGCCUGUCCUCUAAGUACCUUUUUGUUCCUCAGCAGAUCCUUGCCCCGUGGCUCCCCAAAGCAAAAAUUCCCUGUGCCCCAGAGGGUGUGAGCAGCUCUUCUCACACCCCUUCCUAGACUGCCCUCAGCUGCUCUCUAAGGCCACCCCCUCAGUCUUUCAUCUCAGCUCUCUGGACCACCAAGUCGUCUAACAGUAUAAAUUUGAUCUGGAUCAGGUGUGGACCUACAGCUCCCCUUCUGCAGAGUCAGUCAAAGCGUGUGCUUAGGGUCAGCUCUGGAGUUUUUGUAUAUUUGUUUUGGUGGUAGCAUGAUGGACCACGCCUGCCUGCAGUGGUGUGGGGAAAAGACAUCUUAAGCAGCAUAAAACUGCUGGUAACAGGUUAACAGCGGCAUUUUUUUUUUUUUUUUUUUAAUAUAUUUGUAUUGGUAGAGUGGAUUUAUACUGACUUAGUUCUUUCCAGUGACAGAUUUUUGUACUAGCAGCAGGAGUUUUAAAGCUGGUUAAACUGUAUUGCCUGGUGGGGUUUGGACUGUGGCUCCUAAAUCCCGUGGAACAGGAACUCUUGACUCCUUCCAACUAUGCCAGAGGUUGGAAAUCCAACAAAUACCUUUGUUAUGACACUUAGUUUUUUCUGGACUGGUAUGUUCUGGGCACUUUUCACUACUCCAGUGUGGAGAAAUGUAGCAUAGGCAAAAAAACCCAAUGUUUGAGAUAAGGCGUGUAGCCAUAGCUGCCUGAUCAGAGGUGUUCCUGUGCAAAGCUCUGUUAACAACAGCAGUGAUGGUAAAUCUUGGAGCAGGGGGGAAUGAGAGCAAGUAGAGGGGAAAAGGGAUGACAGAGGAAAGGCUGGAAGCCCAAAAAUGAAGGUGCCUGAAAGACUGUUUGAAUUCCGAUUCAAACCGAAGCACCCUGAAUCGCAUUACCUCUGUUUUGUUAUUGAAUAGCAAAGAGAGCAGGUUUUUAGUACGGGAAAAAUCAUCUGGACACCCCAAAUCUGCAGUGUUCUGCAAUCAUACCCUCAUGCAAUUAGCUGAACAGAGAUAAGAGGUUUCUAAGUAGUGUGAAUUAUUACACCUCAGAGUAUCUCUUCUGUGCUUUUUCAGUAGUGCUGCAUGAGAUUUUGCAAAUAAUUUUGCAUGGAAAAAAACAGAGGUAUUAAAAAGAAAAUCUGACCCUGCGUUUAUUUGUUACAGUAACUGUGCAACAUCAUCCUGGACUCCUGUCUCUGCAAAUAACACCUGCAAAAUGAAGUCCUUGAGAAUGCAGCUUGGAACAGGUUUGGAAGAAUUUGCAGAUAUUUGCUGGCACCUGAUGUUUUAUAAUGCUGACAGCCCUUCACUGGUGCCUUAUUAGUGUGAUUAUAAAUGACAGAGUGCAUUAGAUGUAGAGUUUUGACUGAUGUAAUUUUUGCCAGCAGUUCAAUUACUUCCUCCCCCUCAGUUCUGCUUCAUCGUGCCAUGUAGUUGUGCUGCAGCUCACCAGCAUGUCACCCAUGGAGAAACACCACACAGGAGGAAAUGGGGAAAAUGUGCUGUCACCAAACCCUCUGUAUUUUCCAGUGCAUCACAAUUAAGCAAACACCUGUGGUAAUGUAUUAACGGGGACAUGGAGGGGAAGAGAGUGUCCUUGUGCUCUUCUUUGCGACCAAGUGAUAAGAAAGCCAAAGAGUUUGGGAGUUUUGUAUUUGCCUUUAAUUAUUUUGUCCCUCUAAGCUUUUCCCCAGUACAUGAUACAUUUCAGAUUUUGUCCAACUGAGCUUUGAUGGAAGCCGACGGAGAACAGGAGUUUUCAAGAAAUUGGGCUAUGGGAGUAAAAGAGUAACUGAAUUUGUUUUCUUAUUUAAAUUGCCUACAGGGUAAAUCCUCAGCUUCAACUCACAUGACCCAUUUCCCUGACAUUGAGGUCAGUUUACUGAUUUCAUCACCCUUUUAAGACCACUGAAGAGUGAAAGGUAAGUAGAAAUAAGGCAUCUGACUGUUCCGUAAAUUCCUUUCCUAGCUCACAGGUACUGCCUACAUCUCUUCUGAACUCCUUUAUAUUUGAAAGCAUUGGAUAAUUAUCUUUUAGGAUUCUAAACUUGUGUAUGUGUGUGUGUGUGCAUGUACACGGAGAAGCGGAUAUUUUGAGAAUCACUCUUAACACACCCUUAAAGGUGCACAGGCUGCAGGACCCAAGGUUGGGGGUGCAAAAGACUUUUUGUACCUGAUGCUCAUUUUUGUCAGUGGAGAAACCUUCCCCAAACUAUCACUGUUGUGCCCCAGCAAUUGUUUCCUUAAAACACGGUGCAUCGUUUAAAGUAUCAUAUAGGCUGCAUAUACCCUGAAAAUAGAGGAAAGGAUAAAAAGAAUCUAUUGACAGAUGUUUUUACUGUGCAAGUACAGCACAGUGACAAUUCCCACUUCUUUUUCUAAAAGGGCAAAAGGAAUGUGAGGCUUAUAUGGAAGGAUUUGUGUUAGCUACAGCCUGAAUUGGGCUGAACUAUGUUUUUCCAGCUCAUUUCUGUGUCUGUAUUUGAAAUAUUUGCUUUUCUGCUGUUUUAGCCUAUAGGAUUUUUUUUCUUUUUGUGGUACUGGGUCUUUGUAUUUUUCUUGUUUUAGUGUAGGUAAUUAGCUGUAGGAAUGUAUGAUCCACCAAGGCUUUUUUUUUUAAAGUAUGAAUUAUGUAUAUUGUACCAAGAGCCCGUCUAUGGUUUUGCUUUCAGAAAAGAGCCUGGCUAAAUAUAUUCAUCCUGAUUUCA